CCUGAAUCAGAUCUGUGGGAUUUUUUUUUGUUUUUUGGCAUUAAAUAAGAUGCUUAAAGAAACACAACAGUGUAUAUCCAUAAUUCUAUGUCUUAGAAGAAUGACUCCCCUUAACUUGUGCUAAACCCGUGUGUCACUAACUGAAGGCAGAGUUCCCUUAACCAUCCUUGUCUGCUCCUCUCUGCAGCCUCUGGAAAGCGUGGAAGCUUCUCUCUGCGCAGCGUGCUCUAAAGGUCUGGUCUUCUGGUUGCCUGUCCACCUUCACUUUUCUCCUAGAACCCCUGUCGUGUGGCCUGGGGGCUCCAGAAGGAACCAGCCCCAGCAGAUGUUAACGGAGGGCGAAGAAACGGAUCCUCCCCACGAGCCCCCAAGAAGAGUUAGGCCUGCUGAUCGCUUGAUUUGGACCAGUGAGAUGGACUUCGGACUUCAGCUCUGCGAGGCUGGGGCUCCACUCCAGAAUAGUGCCUCUGAGAAGGCGGAGCCCCUGCCCUCCAACCCUGGCAUCCGGUCGGAGGGCACUCUUUCCAGGAGAGGUGGGAUGUCGGCAUUUCUCAACCUGGCCCAGCUACCUGUGGUCGAGGCCAAGUCCUGGGCAAGCGCAGGAGGGAGCUGGGGGCUCCCUUCCUCCUUCUGGCCCCUACUUGUGGGGUGGAGGCUCCACCGUGCCCUGAGAGCUCGGGGGCCCCCAUCGCCUUGGCACCUGGGGCAGACGUUCCUGCUGGGGGAGGCAAGCCCAGAAGACCAGAGGCUGCUGCCCGCUGCCCGGGCCCACCAAGCACUCCGCUCCCAAGACAGGGUGUUACUCCGAGGGAAGCACACCAUGCUCCCCAGCGCCCAACAGAAACUAGGCUCAUGGUUGCCUAGGGCAGGGCUGGGGGGCGGGGGCGGCGUGAGGGGUACCAGGGCUGAGGGCUAAAGGGUGCCGCAGGCUUCCUUUCUGGCGGUGCAUGGCAUUUGGGGAAGAGGCAUUUUGCACUUACCUUGCGGGAGACCACCUUUGCUUCCCACCAAAAUGGACAUAACACACAGGAGACGCCUUAAAAGCCGGGACACAACCUUGCCAUCUCCUGGGACCCUUCGGGAAGAGGAGCAAAGCUCUCCCCUUCCCACCCACCCCCGGGAGCGGCCCCGCUUGGGACCGACACCCCAAGAGCUUUCCCCAAGACAUUUUGAUCCCGAGUUCAACCAGCCGAAACAAAACGUUGGGAGUGAAAUAAAUGCCUUCCACUUAGAUGCUUAGUUCGUUAUCUGGCCCCCGAGUAAAGCUUCAUUGUUUUCAGCUGACUCUGGGGUCCCUGCAGCUGGGCUCUGUCCAGCACACUGUUUGUAUUUUGCACCCAGUUUAAAACCGCAGCGUAUCUUUUCUAAGGCUCUGUUUUAAACUGGAGGCAUAAAAAAGAGAGCAAUGGAUUUUUUUUAUUUCCUGAGAUGAAAACCUGCCUGUCAGUCGUU